ensembl:ncRNA asRNA:CR44291 antisense RNA:CR44291
AUCCAAAAUGUUUAAAGCAAACUAAACCGACUUUUCAGAUUGAUCUAUUUGUUCGAAUUCACUUUAUAACAACUGGAAGCAGCUUUGAAAAGCAACCAAAAAGUGGAGCUAUACAUUUUCUGCGAGAAGGCAUGCAAUAGAGACGCUGUGAAAACGACUUUGCGUUCGAGGUUUUGAUUCUGUUGGAAAAGGAUUACGAUAUCCAUAUAACCAGAGAUUGGAGUUUUUUAACUGAAUUCAUGAAUUCCCAAUAAGAUCCCCUAUUCCACAGCACCAAUACUCAGUAGUAUAAGGCUGGCCAACUGUAAUAAUGGAGCUUGGAUAGCUUCAAAGUGACCGAUUGACAUGACUUUAUAAGUUAGUUAUUUAUUAAAGGUUAUUAAAGAUUAGGAGCAUCCACGCUGGGCACCUGAACGGAGUAAUACUUCGUGGAGAUCCUGUUAAGGAAGUAGAGCCCCACCAGGGAAAAGAGAACACUGGUGGUGGCGCAGACACGAUGCACGAGUCCCGCGGCGGCCACCGUGAGUGAGAGACAGAAAAUAAUCUCUGGUAGCAGCUUGGCCUGGAAGUCCUGGCCGAAAACAACCAUCUCCGCGUUGGAGACGCACGUGAGGCUCAGGAUGAACACCCAGGAGAAGAGGUAUCCGCCCAAAAGGACCCUCAGCUGCGAGUCGUUAAACCAUUCUGAGCAGAAACGCAGUGUGCCGAACAAAACAAUGCUCAGGAGGCCCGAGAUGAUGGAGGAUACCACGGUGCUCUUACUGCUCACUGAAGCGGCUGCAAAGCCGGCGUCUUUCUUAUACGUGUAGUGAAUUAUCGAACU